rnacentral:sRNA from 1 species
CACACACACACACACACACAUAGGUAUAGGUAAAUUGAAACUGCUCAAAGGCACUUUCAGAUUGCAAGAGUGUUGGGCUAGGACACCUAGAUCAGAAGUUUCUAAGUGGCCCCCGAGAGAAGAUCAUUGUGCUUUGCUGGCCCAGUAUUUGUUCUGUUCCCUAUUGUGUUUGCAGAGGUGCCCAGUGGCAGCAGACUUUGUAAAGAACAGCUGCUGGAUGAAGCAAUUAUUCCUGGAACUUCCAAGUCGUAACCUCAGAUCCACAGGACCUGAAAAUCUGCCAUGGAUACACCGGGCCAGCAGUGAUGAAGGUCUCCAUAUUCCUAUAGGCAAAACCCUCUGCCUUGGUCCACCUGGAAGUACAGCCUGUCUGUCAGCUCAACCCACCAUGCUACAUCUUCAAGCAUCCCAGCUUUCCUAAGCCAAAGAAUUACCAAGAACAUAUUGGUAUCAGCAUACAGAGGUGUGUUGGUAUGAAUGUGUCCUAGAAAUGGAGGAAACCCACAAAGGAGGAACGGGAUGGCACGUGUGCACGCUACUGCAGGAGGUGAGAGUUCAUCUCAGCAUGCAAGAUCCUCCUGGAGCCCUGCUGCACUUGGAAUCUCCUGCAUGCCCCAACCUCUGGGUGAGGCAUCCUGAAUCAGGCACAGCUUGGGGAAUGUAUUUUAGGCUAUCUUAGUUCCCUGUAUUUUCUGAUUGGGAUCAUGGAAUAGAUUCUGAAAACAAAAACAACAACCACUAAAUCCUAACCUAUUGAAAGGCAGACUAUGAAACUUUUCUGCAGAGUUAGGAAGUCUGACAGUUAAGAUUUAGUUCACAGUUCUCUGUUGGACGGAGAGUGUGGGUAGAUUUCACACAGAGAAGGGGAGCCUAGGGAGGGGGACAGUCUCCCAUAGAGCUAGCAGCACAGUGCCUUGGCCUCAGCCUUGCAGUCAAGGAGUCUUAGAGCAAAUGUGUUAACAUCUUGCAGGUACAGAGAAGUCUACAUGGUGUGGUGAGGCCAGCCCUACCCCCAGGGAGUAAGAGCAAAGCACUCUGGGAGAAUGGACAUGCUGGCAUCUGCCUUCAUCAUCUGAGGCAUUUAGGUUUUUAUUAU